GGGGGUGAUUUGGAUUCGACGGGGAUAGUUGAGACCAGAGCCGCAGGCCGAGCGACCCAGUGACUCGUUAAUCCAACGGGACUAAACACAAAAGCAGACUCUACCGAGUACGCACUGGCUGCAUAGCCAGCGUCCCUGAGAAUAUGCGGCCCACAGCUUCUCAGGGGCGUAGCCAAACGGGCUGGUCAACUCAGGGGGCUACUGGCCUGAGCUGACGAGAAAAUUCCAGUUUCUCGCCCCGCGACCACCUGUCCGUUGGAGGUCAAAGGGUUAAACAAAAAAACGGAAUAAGCCUGUAGACACUUUGGGGGAAGAUCUUCGGACGCGGGUUCAAUUCCCGCCACCUCCACCA
rnacentral:tmRNA from 1 species